rnacentral:rRNA from 1 species
UACGUAGGGCGCAAGCGUUAUCCGGAAUUAUUGGGCGUAAGGAGCUCGUAGGCGGUUUGUCGCGUCUGCUGUGAAAACUCGGGGCUUAACCCCGGGCCUGCAGUGGGUACGGGCAGACUAGAGUGCGGUAGGGGAGACUGGAAUUCCUGGUGUAGCGGUGAAAUGCGCAGAUAUCAGGAGGAACACCGGUGGCGAAGGCGGGUCUCUGGGCCGUAACUGACGCUGAGGAGCGAAAGCAUGGGGAGCGAACAGG